rnacentral:rRNA from 1 species
GUCGAGCGGAAACGAUGAUAGCUUGCUAUCAGGCGUCGAGCGGCGGACGGGUGAGUAAUACUUAGGAAUCUACCUAGUAGUGGGGGAUAGCUCGGGGAAACUCGAAUUAAUACCGCAUACGUCCUACGGGAGAAAGCAGGGGAUCAUUAGACCUUGCGCUAUUAGAUGAGCCUAAGUCGGAUUAGCUAGAUGGUGGGGUAAAGGCCUACCAUGGCGACGAUCUGUAGCUGGUCUGAGAGGAUGAUCAGCCACACCGGGACUGAGACACGGCCCGGACUCCUACGGGAGGCAGCAGUGGGGAAUAUUGGACAAUGGGGGGAACCCUGAUCCAGCCAUGCCGCGUGUGUGAAGAAGGCCUUUUGGUUGUAAAGCACUUUAAGCAGUGAAGAAGACCUAACGGUUAAUACCCGUUAGCGAUGACAUUAGCUGCAGAAUAAGCACCGGCUAACUCUGUGCCAGCAGCCGCGGUAAUACAGAGGGUGCAAGCGUUAAUCGGAAUUACUGGGCGUAAAGCGAGCGUAGGUGGCUUGAUAAGUCAGAUGUGAAAUCCCCGGGCUUAACCUGGGAACUGCAUCUGAAACUGUUAGGCUAGAAUAGGUGAGAGGAAGGUAGAAUUCCAGGUGUAGCGGUGAAAUGCGUAGAGAUCUGGAGGAAUACCGAUGGCGAAGGCAGCCUUCUGGCAUC